ACGAACGCUGGCGGCAGGCUUAACACGUGCAAGUCGAACGCGCCCUUCGGGGCGAGUGGCAGACGGGUGAGUAACGCGUGGGAACCUACCUUUUGGUACGGAAUAACUCAGGGAAACUUGAGCUAAUACCGUAUGUGCCCUUAUCCUUGAUCGGGUUUGGGGAAAGAUUCAUCGCCAAAGGAUGGGCCCGCGUCGGAUUAGCGAUUUGGUGGGGUAACGGCCUACCAAGGCGACGAUCCGUAGCUGGUCUGAGAGGCUGAUCAGCCACACUGGGACUGGGGCACGGCCCGGACGCCUUCGGGAGGCAGCAGUGGGGAAUCUUGCGCAAUGGGCGAAAGCCUGACGCAGCCAUGCCGCGUGAAUGAUGAAGGUCUUAGGAGUGUAAAAUUCUUUCACCGGGGACGAUAAUGACGGUACCCGGAGAAGAAGCCCCGGCUAACUUCGUGCCAGCCGCCGCGGUAAUAC
rnacentral:rRNA from 1 species